rnacentral:rRNA from 1 species
GAUGAACGCUGGCGGCGUGCUUAACACAUGCAAGUCGAACGAAGAUGAUUAGAAUGAGAGCUUCGGCAGGUAUUUCUUUUCAUCUUAGUGGCGGACGGUGAGUAACGUGUGGGCAACCUGCCCUAUACUGGGGAAUAAUCACUGGAAACGGUGACUAAUACCGCAUGUCAUUGCGAGAGGCAUCCUCUUGACAAAGAAAGGUAGUAAUUCGGUAUAGGAUCGGGCCCGCAUCUGAUUAGCUAGUUGGUGAGAUAACACGCCCACCAAGGCGACGAUCAGUAGCCGA